rnacentral:lncRNA from 1 species
UCGUCCCAUGUCAUGACUGAGUCGUGAAGUCCAAACUCUUGCUGUUCAAAAACGCGGACCGCUCGUGGCUUCUUCUCCAUGUUGUUGUUCCGUUGGUGUCGAAAAUGAGGACAUGUGUGCCUUGUUUCUUUUCUCCUUCUCAAUGAGGAGAUACAAUGUCUUCUUUCUUUUCAUCUUUCUUACUCAUAGCUUCUCCAAAAAAACGUUGCCCACAAGCUGUUUGCAUGUAUUCCUUUGUAGAUGACACUUUAUCUUUUUUAGUACAAUGUAUAAAGCCUUCAAUUGUUUUUCUUCAACUUGUCAUAAAAAUGGUUACGGUUUGUUAUAGUGGAUCGAGGAC